rnacentral:rRNA from 1 species
GACAGAGGCCUCAAGCGUUAGGCGGAAUCACUGGGCUUAAAGCGUGUGUAGGCGGAUCGUUAAGUGUCUUGUGAAAUCCCACGGCUCACCCGUGGAACUGCUGGGCAUACUGGCGAUCUUGGGCCAACUAGGGGCAACUGGAACAAGCGGUGGAGCGGUGAAAUGCAUAGAUAUGUCUCAGAACACCGAUUGCGAAGGCAGCUUACUAUGGUUUUAUUGACGCUGAGGCACGAAAGCGUGGGGAUCAAACAGG